rnacentral:rRNA from 1 species
UCGCGAAUCUUCCUCAAUGGACGAAAGUCUGAAGGAGCGACGCCGCGUGCAGGAAGACGUAUUUCGGUAUGUAAACUGCUUUUAUCAGGGACGAACAAAUGACGGUACCUGAUGAAUAAGUCACUGCUAACUUCGUGCCAGCAGCAGCGGUAAUACGAAGGUGGCAAGCGUUAUCCGGAUUUAUUGGGCGUAAAGGAUCCGCAGGUUGUUUGGCAAGUCAGUCGUCAAAUCCCGAAGCUCAACUUCGGGGCUGCGGUUGAAACUGCCAAGCUAGAGGGUGGAAUAGGCUAACGGAAUUGUCGGUGUAGUAGUAAAAUGCGUUAAUAUCGACAGGAACACCAACGGUGAAGACAGUUAGCUGGUACACUCCUGACACUGAGGGACGAAAGCGUGGGUAGCGAAUG